rnacentral:rRNA from 1 species
GACGAACGCUGGCGGCGUGCUCAACACAUGCAAGUCGAACGGAAAGGCCCUGCUUUUGUGGGGUGCUCGAGUGGCGAACGGGUGAGUAGCACGUGAGUAACCUGCCCUUGACUUUGGGAUAACUUCAGGAAACUGGGGCUAAUACCGGAUAGGAGCCCCUGCUGCAUGGUGGGGGUUGGAAAGUUUCGGCGGUUGGGGAUGGACUCGCGGCUUAUCAGCUUGUUGGUGGGGUAGUGGCUUACCAAGGCUUUGACGGGUAGCCGGCCUGAGAGGGUGACCGGCCACAUUGGGACUGAGAUACGGCCCAGACUCCUACGGGAGGCAGCAGUGGGGAAUAUUGCACAAUGGGCGGAAGCCUGAUGCAGCAACGCCGCGUGCGGGAUGACGGCCUUCGGGUUGUAAACCGCUUUCGCCUGUGACGAAGCGUGAGUGACGGUAAUGGGUAAAGAAGCACCGGCUAACUACGUG